rnacentral:snoRNA from 10 species
CCUGUAUGAUGAAGCAUUACCUUGCCUGACUGUCUGUGGAGGCAAAUACUGAUUUAAUGAGUCUGAAGG